AAGCAGCUCUGCCGUUGAUCUUUCCCACCGGAGGUUUCCGACGGCAGCUGUGCUGCAGCGGCACUGCAGAGCUUGAGGAGUCCACUGCUCUCACACCACAGAGACAGGGAAAGGCACGUGGGCUUGGAGAGCCUUUCGAGAGACUCUUGAACCUGAACUUGGUUGCCUCUGUGCCUGUUGUGAAUGAAAGCAAAGAGCCCAUUGGUCCUGACAAAACUCACAUUGCAGGAAAGGGAGUUUAAAUCCUGAGCAUGUUUUGCUUCAAGGCUAUGCAGACACCUCCAUUUGGUCACUGCUCUGUCUUUUUAUUCCAGCACUGUUGUAGGAAUGUAAAUCAGGACCAAGAAGGAACAAAAUGGCUUCUGUUCCUAAGUAGAUGCUUAAGUUAUGGCCAUCAAAUAUUACAUAGUCUGCAGAAGCUUUCCUGCAGAGUUGUCAUCAGGAGUGAUCCAAUCCUUUUUCAGACUGUCACAGUUUAUAAGUCAAUAAAAUAUCUGUGACUUUCCAAACUCUU